GUGGGGAAUCUUCCGCAAUGGACGAAAGUCUGACGGAGCAACGCCGCGUGAGUGAAGAAGGUUUUCGGAUCGUAAAGCUCUUUCGUUAGGGACGAACGUGCUCUUUGUGAAUAAUGAGGAGUAAUGACGGUACCUAAAUAAGAAGCCACGGCUAACUACGUGCCAGCAGCCGCGGUAAUACGUAGGUGGCAAGCGUUGUCCGGAAUUAUUUGGCGUAAAGCGCGCGCAGGCGGGAUAUCAAGUCUGUCUUAAAAGUGCGAGGCUCAACCUCGUGAGGGGACAGAAACUGGUAUUCUUGAGUGUCGGAGAGGAAAGUGGAAUUCCAAGUGUAGCGGUGAAAUGCGUAGAGAUUUGGAAGAACACCAGUGGCGAAGGCGACUUUCUGGACGAUGUCUGACGCUGAGGCGCGAAAGCUAGGGGAGCGAACGGGAUUAGAUACCUGGUAGUCC
rnacentral:rRNA from 1 species